rnacentral:rRNA from 1 species
GAUGAACGCUGGCGGCGUGCCUAAUACAUGCAAGUCGAGCGAACAGACGAGAAGCUUGCUUCUCUGACGUUAGCGGCGGACGGGUGAGUAACACGUGGAUAACCUACCUAUAAGACUGGGAUAACUUCGGGAAACCGGAGCUAAUACCGGAUAAUAUUUUGAACCGCAUGGUUCAAUAGUGAAAGACGGUUUUGCUGUCACUUAUAGAUGGAUCCGCGCCGCAUUAGCUAGUUGGUAAGGUAACGGCUUACCAAGGCAACGAUGCGUAGCCGACCUGAGAGGGUGAUCGGCCACACUGGAACUGAGACACGGUCCAGACUCCUACGGGAGGCAGCAGUAGGGAAUCUUCCGCAAUGGGCGAAAGCCUGACGGAGCAACGCCGCGUGAGUGAUGAAGGUCUUCGGAUCGUAAAACUCUGUUAUUAGGGAAGAACAAAUGUGUAAGUAACUAUGCACGUCUUGACGGUACCUAAUCAGAAAGCCACGGCUAACUACGUG